rnacentral:rRNA from 1 species
UACGUAGGCAGCGAGCGUUGUUCGGAAUUACUGGGCGUAAAGAGUGUGUAGGCGGUGCUCCCAGUCUGUUGUGAAAUCUCCCGGCUUAACUGGGAGGGUGCAGCGGAAACUAGAGUGCUAGAGGGUGGGAGAGGUAAGCGGAAUUCCUGGUGUAGCGGUGAAAUGCGUAGAUAUCAGGAGGAACACCUGUGGUGUAGACAGCUACUGGACCACUUCUGACGCUUGAGACACGAAAGCGUGGGUAGCAAACAGG